rnacentral:rRNA from 1 species
AUUGAACGCUGGCGGCAGGCCUAACACAUGCAAGUCGGACGGUAGCACAGAGGAGCUUGCUCUUCGGGUGACGAGUGGCGGACGGGUGAGUAAUGUCUGGGGAUCUGCCCGAUAGAGGGGGAUAACCACUGGAAACGAUGGCUAAUACCGCAUAACGUCGCAAGACCAAAGUGGGGGACCUUCGGGCCUCAUGCCAUCAGAUGUGCCCAGAUGGGAUUAGCUGGUAGGUGGGGUAACGGCUCACCUAGGCGACGAUCCCUAGCUGGUCUGAGAGGAUGACCAGCCACACUGGAACUGAGACACGGUCCAGACUCCUACGGGAGGCAGCAGUGGGGAAUAUUGCACAAUGGGCGCAAGCCUGAUGCAGCCAUGCCGCGUGUGUGAAGAAGGCCUUCGGGUUGUAAAGCACUUUCAGCGGGGAGGAAGGCGAUAAGGUUAAUAACCUUGUCGAUUGACGUUACCCGCAGAAGAAGCACCGGCUAACUCCGUGCCAGCCGCCGCAGUAA